GGUGAAAGAAGUUUACUGUGAAAUACGGCCAUUUCUGAGCUGUAAUCGGGAGUUUACUGACCCCACUUUUUACUGUUACAGUCCUGACAGACCAAUCACAGCGCAUGUUAUUGCGGGGGCGUGGCUAAGAAUUGAUUCAGCAAUGUGAUUGGUUCCUGUCUCACAGCGUUGAGAGUUGCGGGGGUCUUUAAAGUUUGUCCUAGUCAGUUACUGUUUGUUUUGCUCCCGCCCGGUAGAACUUUUUUUGCUUUUGAGGAGAUACUGCUGCGUUGUUGUAAAACAUGUCGCAUAAACGGUCCUUGUGCUUUUAUCCAAAUCAACCUGAAGCAGAUGUUACUCCGACCAGACCUGCAGUAGAGCGACAAGGACGGUCAACUCCAUCUUCUUCCCCAUGAGAAAGUCCCGGUUCAGGUGUAUCUGUUGUUGUUAAUGCUUUAAAUUCUUUGUCGCGACAAAUAUCGAAAUUCGAAGAAAAAGUAGACAGCAGAUUUGAAAAGAUAGAGCGCAGACUACAGGACAUCGACGGCAGAUUUGAGCUACUGGACGAGGAAGUGAAGAACUUAAGCUCUGAUCGUGUUGAAACUUUCAGCUCCGAUUCCACACCCGCAAAACGGAUUAAAAGAGCAAAGAACACACGUGUUGCUGUAAGAGGCUGUAAGACGUUUACACAAUUCUGAAAACAACGCUAUGAAGCUGGAUCCAAAACAAAGUAUCAAUUCUCCACAUAACCUUGCAGUUACGACAUACAUGUUGGAGCAGGUCGGCAUUGCUUUUCCUGACACAGACAGCGACGUGAUAACAG